CAGGGUAGCCUAGUGGUUAGAGUGUAGAGGCGGCAGGGUAGCCUAGUGGUUAGAGUGUAGAGGCGGCAGGGUAGCCUAGUGGUUAGAGUGUAGAGGCGGCAGGGUAGCCUAGUGGUUAGAGUGUAGAGGCGGCAGGGUAGCCUAGUGGUUAGAGUGUAGAGGGGGCAGGGUAGCCUAGUGGUUAGAGUGUAGAGGCGGCAGGGUAGCCUAGUGGUUAGAGUGUAGAGGCGGCAGGGUAGCCUAGUGGUUAGAGUGUAGAGGCGGCAGGGUAGCCUAGUGGUUAGAGUGUAGAGGCGGCAGGGUAGCCUAGUGGUUAGAGUGUAGAGGGGGCAGGGUAGCCUAGUGGUUAGAGUGUAGAGGCGGCAGGGUAGCCUAGUGGUUAGAGUGUAGAGGCGGCAGGGUAGCCUAGUGGUUAGAGUGUAGAGGCGGCAGGGUAGCCUAGUGGUUAGAGUGUAGAGGCGGCAGGGUAGCCUAGUGGUUAGAGUGUAGAGGCGGCAGGGUAGCCUAGUGGUUAGAGUGUAGAGGCGGCAGGGUAGCCUAGUGGUUAGAGUGUAGGGGCGGCAGGGUAGC